CGGCAACAGCUCAAAUUUGAAAUCUGGCCCCAGGCCCGAGUUGUAAUUUGCAGAGGAUGCUUUUGGCGAGGUGCCUUCCGAGUUCCCUGGAACGGGACGCCAUAGAGGGUGAGAGCCCCGUACGGUUGGACACCAAGUCUUUGUAAAGCUCCUUCGACGAGUCGAGUAGUUUGGGAAUGCUGCUCAAAAUGGGAGGUAUAUUUCUUCUAAAGCUAAAUAUUGGCCAGAGACCGAUAGCGCACAAGUAGAGUGAUCGAAAGAUGAAAAGCACUUUGAAAAGAGGGUUAAACAGCACGUGAAAUUGUUAAAAGGGAAGCGCUUAUGACCAGACUUGCGCCCGGUGAAUCACCCAGCUCUCGCGGCUGGGGCACUUUGCCGGCUCAGGCCAGCAUCAGCUCGCUGUCGGGGACAAAAGCUUCGGGAACGUAGCUCUCUUCGGGGAGUGUUAUAGCCCGUUGCAUAAUACCCUUCGGCGGGCUGAGGUACGCGCUCCGCAAGGAUGCUG
rnacentral:rRNA from 1 species